rnacentral:pre_miRNA from 1 species
UCUUACGGAUGAGCAAAAAAGUGGUUUCUUUGAGAUGGAAUCUGCUGUUAGUGAAGAUGCUGUGAA